rnacentral:lncRNA from 1 species
UUUUUUAUUUUUUUAUUUUUUUUAUUUAUGUUCCCAGAGAAUAUUCCAAUUCUGGCAUGUGGAUUCUAUCCAUUUCGGGCAAGUCCAUUUCUGGACGUUGCCAAUUUUGGAAUAUGCCAUUUCUGUUUUAUACCAUUUAGGGCAGGUUGUCUCUUUAUGCAUUUGUGAUGAUUUUUCUACAGCAACCCUAACAUAUUAUAUAUGUUUUUGAGGUAGAAAAUCCCACCAAUCCAGUGGUGGCAUUAAUUUCUGCAUUUGAGCAAGUUCAUGAACAUGUCGUUUUACAUCAUGAUGUUGUCUUGUCAUUUUUGUGUGGAUUAUUUCAAGCAUGCUAUGAGAUUGUUUUGCACAUGAGUAGCUUCAUUUCCAUGCCUACUUCAUGCUAGUACUUGUUCCAUGACAUGACUUGCCUGGUAGUGAGUUAAUCAAGCUUGUAAAGAUGCCAUGUUAAAUCUGUUUUCUGCUAUGCCUUGUAAUUCCACUAAGGCUGUAGAUACUGUUACCUUGUGCAGUAUUGCCAUGCUAUUUUAGUCAUGCUCUAGUGGUUUUUAGAUUGAGCUCAGUGUUCAUGUUUUGUAGAGCAUCUCCUGUACAUCAAUGUUAUGCAUCUUGUUCAUAUGUUUGGGUGCUAUAUCUUAUUCAUACUUUGCAUACAUGUGGCCAUGUUGCUGUUUGCAUCAUAUCUUGUCUUGCUUGCCUUUUGCAAACCGUGUACCCGAAUCCGGUGAUCUCUAUAUCGAUUCCAACCGAAAUCAUCUCAUCUUGCCAGCGGCAUACUUGGUUUGCCAAGUUGAUGCCUUGUUCAUCAUCUUUCCUUCCGAAACACGCAUAUGCUUUGCAUAUCACCUCUCGCAUAUCAUGACAUGUUUUGCAUCAUGAUGCUUGUGCAUUGCACCGUGAUUUAUUGUGGUUCCUUGCUUGUGUUCUUGCUUUGGGUAGAGCCGGGAGACGAGUACGUGCACGAGGAACCUGUUGAGUACGCUAACGAGGAUCAAGCCUUCGACUACUCUAAGAACCUUGCAGGCAAGAUGAUCAUACCUUAGAUAUCACUUCUAUCUUUGCUUGCUAGUACUCGCUCUAUCGCUUUGUUAGCUCUACCUGCCUUUGUUUACCAUGCCUCCCUAUUGCCAUGUUAAACCUCUAACCAUCCUGUCCUAGCAAACCGUUGUUUGGCUAUGUCACCGCUUUUGCUCAGCCCCUCUUAUAGUGUUGUUAGUUGCAGGUGAAGAUGAAGUUUGUUCCUAGACGGAACAUGGAUAUUUUGGGAUAUCACAAUAUCUUCUGUUUAAAUUAAUGCACCUUAUAUACUUGGUAAAGGGUGGAAGGCUCGACCUUAUGCCUGGUGACUUGUUCCACUCUUGCCGCCCUAGUUUCCGUCAUACCGGUGUUAUGUUCCUUGAUUUUGCGUUCCUUACACGGUUGGGUGAUUUAUGGGACCCCCUUAACAGUUCGCUUUGAAUAAAACUCCUCCAGCAAGGCCCAAACUUGGUUUUACCAUUUGCCACCUAAGCCCUUUUCCCUUGGGUUUUCGCGAGCCCAAGGGUCAUCUUUAUGUAACCCCCCCCCCCGGGCCAGUGCUCCUUCGAGUGUUGGUCCGAACUGAGCAGCCUGUGGGGCCACCUCGGGGCAACUUGAGGGUUGGUUUUACUCGUAGCUUGACUCAUCCGGUGUGCCCUGAGAACGAGAUAUGUGCAGCUCCUAUCGGGAUUUGUUGGCACUUCGGGCGGCUUUGCUGGUCUUGUUUUACCAUUGUCGAAAUGUUUUGCGAACCGGAAUUCCGAGACUGAUCAGGUCUUCCCGGGAGAAGGUCUAUUCCUUCGUUGACCGUGAGAGCUUGUGAUGGGCUGAGUUGGGACACCCCUGCAGGGUAUAUAAUCUUUCGAAAGCCGUGCCCGCGGUUAUGAGGCAGAUGGGAAUUUGUUAAUGUCCGGUUGUAGAUAACUUGACAGUUGACCUCUUUAAAAUGCAUUAACAGCGUGUGUAGCCGUGAUGGUCUCUUCUCGGCGGAGUCCGGGAAGUGAACAUGGUUUGAGUUAUGUUUGCCGUAAGUAGUUUCAGGAUCACUUCUUGAUCACUUCUAGCUUCUCGACUGACGCGUUGCUUCUCUUCUCGCUCUCACUUGCGUAUGUUAGCCACCAUAUAUGCUUAGUGCUUGCCGCAGCUCCACCAUAUUUUACCCCUUACCUACCUAUGAGCUUAAAUAGUCUUGAUCUCGCGGGUGUGAGAUUGCUGAGUCCCUGUGGCUCACAGAUUCUACCAAAACAGAUGCAGGUGCCGAGGAUACCGACGCAGAUGGUGCAACUGAGCUGAAGUGGGAAUUUGAUGAGGCCCUUGGUCGUUACUAUGUAUCGUUUCCAGAUGAUCAGUAGAGGAGCCCAGUCGGGACGAUCGGGGAUCUAGCAUUUGGGGUUGUCUUCUUUUCAUUUGAACUUGACCGUAGCCGGUCUAUGAGUGUAUUUGAAUGAUGUAUGAUCUUAAUUUAUGUAUUGUGUGAAGUGGCGAUUGUAAGCCAACUCUCUUUAUCCCAUUCUUGUUCAUUACAUGGGAUUGUGUGAAGAUGACCCUUCUUGCGACAAAACCACCAUGCAGUUAUGCCUCUAAGUCAUGCUUCGACACAUGUGAGAUAUAGCCGCAUCGUGGGUGUUACAGGCGAUCAGGUUUUUGGGG